rnacentral:tRNA from 1 species
UCAGCGGCGGAGUGGAUAACGCGAUGGCGUUUAAAGCGAAAAGUACUGGGUUCGAGUCCCAAAGUGA